AACAGGGCAACGCACAGGGCGUAGCCCGCUCCCUACAGAGGCUGCGCCUUAGAGGAACUGGCGUAGCGUCCUGGUAGACAUGCUGCAGCCCCGCCGUCCCCGGCUUCUCCGUGAGGUCCCCGGGACUCCUCGCCACCACCUGGCACUGGCCCCCGGCUGCCUGCUCCUGGAGUCGCGCGGGGCCCCCUCUCCGUCCCUGCCCAACCCGCGGAGGCUUACCUCACUCUCUCUUCGGGUUGCAUUCGCCAUAAGAGAGCCGGUAGACCCCUGAAAUCCCGGGACCGCCUCCCACGCAAAACACGGAGUCUAGCUCUGUCACCAGGCUGGAGCACAGUGGCAUGAUCUCGACUCACUGCAACCUCCACUGAAGAAGGAAUUCAUGAAUUUUACAAGUAUAAUCAAAGACCACCAAGAAAUUUUUACUUUUUCCUUCAAAAGCUAAGUGUAGUGUAGCACCCCCUGCCCAUAGUCUAAGUUACAGAAGAAUACUAACUGCCUGUUUUUCUUUCUGUGUUGUGAGCCUUAUCUGUUCUCACCAGUUUCACAUUCCUUGAGGCUCAGUGAGUUCCUGCGCACCUCCCUAGCACAGCUGCAAAGUUACAAGGUUGAUAUGCAUAUGUUACAGAAACAUAGUUUCCCAAGGAUGUGGAACAUGUAGUAUAGAUAAAUGUAAAAGACUGAUCAACUGCCUUUGUUCUCGCUUGUGUAAGUAGACUUCAUGAAUCACAUAGCUCCCGGCCACUGACUGCUUAAAAGGUGGCUGCAUUCUUUCUCCAGGGCUCAGACUUUCCUGGACGCUAGUCCUACUGAGCCAGGUGAUCCCCUUAAUAAAGGCUUUCCUGAACUCUCUUCAGUCUCUCCCGUCUCUGAUUGUCCCAUAACAUUUCUGGGGGCCUGUCUGGGAUUGGAG
rnacentral:lncRNA from 10 species